ensembl:lncRNA
CACAGUCACAGAAGUUACAUAGAUCAUCAAUUUUACAAUUACAAGUAGAGCAGAGUAGUAGACAUCUUUCAGUGUAUCGUGCACCAGCUGACGGCAGGUUAGGUAAGUCAUUCUAUUUGGUUGAGCAUGGGAGUGUACAGGCCUGUACGGUAGCUAGGCUUGUAGCUACACUUAGAUGUGUAAAAUAGGACAAAUACAGUGAGCUCCAAAAGUACUGGGACAGUAACAAUUGAAAUGGUACAAUGACUACAAGGUUAAAGUGCUGACUGUUAGCUUUCAUUUGAGGUUAUUUUCAUCCAUAUCGGGUGAACCGUUUCAAAUUACAGCACUUCUUGUACAUAGUCCCCCAUUUUAGGGAACCAAAAUUAUUGGGACAAAUUCACUUAUAUGUGUAUUAAAGUUGUCAAAAGUUUAGUAUUUGGUCCCAUAUAUCCCUAGCGUGCAAUGAUUACGUCAAGCUUGUGACUCUACACACUUGUUGGAUGCAUUUGUUGUUUGUUUGUUUUGGUUCUGUUUCAGAUUAUUUUGUGCCCAAUAGAAAUAAACGUUAAAUAAUGUAUUGUGUCAUUUUGGAGUCAUUUUAUUGUAAAUAAGAAUAGAAUGUGUUUCUAAACACUUCUACAUUAAUGUGGAUGCUACCAUGGUUACGGAUAAUUCUGGAUGAAUCAUGAAUAGUGAUGAGAGAGAAAGUUACAGAUGCACAAAUAUCAUACCCCCCCUCCCAAAAAUGCUAACCUCCCCUGUUAUUGUAAUAGUGAGAGGUUAGCAUAUCUUGGGGGUAUGAUAUAAAAUGCUAAUCUCCCCUGUUAUUGUAAUGGUGAGAGGUUAGCAUGUCUUGGGGGUAUGAUAUAAAAUGCUAACCUCCCCUGUUAUUGUAAUAGUGAGAGGUUAGCAUGUCUUGGAGGUAUGAUAUAAAAUGCUAACCUCCCCUGUUAUUGUAAUGGUGAGAGGUUAGCAUGUCUUGAUGGUAUGCUAUAAAAUGCUAACCUCCCCUGUUAUUGUAAUGAUGAGAGGUUAGCAUGUCUUGAUGGUAUGACAUAAAAUGCUAACCUCCCCUGUUAUUGUAAUGGUGAGAGGUUAGCAUGCCUUGAUGGUAUGAUAUAAAAUGCUAACCUCCCCUGUUAUUGUAAUGGUGAGAGGUAUGAUAUUUCUGCAUCAGUAACUUUCUCACUCAUCACUUUAAUCUCAGCUACAGUAUAUUCAAAGCUAACAUUUACUGAAUGUGCAGUAUAAAUACUGUAUGUAUCCUCCUGCUUACAUAUCUA